rnacentral:rRNA from 1 species
UACGGAGGGGGGCAAGCGUUAUCCGGAUUCAUUGGGCGUAAAGCGCUCGUAGGCGGCUUGUUAGGUCGGGAGUUAAAUCCCGGGGCUCAACCCCGGCACGCUCCCGAUACCGGCAGGCUUGAGUUUGGUAGGGGAAAGUGGAAUUCCAAGUGUAGCGGUGGAAUGCGCAGAUAUUUGGAAGAACACCAGUGGCGAAGGCGGCUUUCUGGGCCAUAACUGACGCUGAGGAGCGAAAGCUAGGGGAGCAAACAGG